GCCUUCGUGGUGCAGUGGUCAGCACGCUCAGGCGUAUUCAAGAGAUCCGUGGUUCGAGUCCCGGCUAGGGCA
rnacentral:tRNA from 1 species